rnacentral:lncRNA from 1 species
CUACUACAUCAAUCAGACCACAAGGUGCCCUUUCAGGAAAGUAAUGGAGUAUAAUCAACCUAACUUCAUUGAUCUACAAGGACUACUGAAAAUUAUAAAACUUUCUUUGGGAUUCUAACAUGCCAGAAACCACUAGAAAAAGAAGUUUGAUAUCUCAGAGGUUCUCCUCAUCGUGGUAUAGAGACCAAAAUGAUACUUUCAAACUCCCAAGGUCAUUAACUGAGGAAUAAUGCCAUCUGCACCAUGAGAGUCAGUUUUGAACAAGAAAGCCUGACAGGUUUCUCCGGAAAAGUGACCAUCCAUGGAAUGAAUGAAAUGUUCCCUUUCUAUUCCAGUAAGUAAUUGACUUGUAACUAAAAAUUGAACUGGCUGCUAUGUCAACUACAAUGUGAGCGGCUGCUGGCACAGGUGUUGCUUACUCUUUAGCCUGGAAAGAAAAGGGGCUUAACCUGUGAUUAAAUUUAAAGUCAAUUGACCUCAACAUGAGAGUACAUAAUUCUCACUUGCCUAUGGAAUGGCCUGAGUCUGUUUUAACCCCGAUUCUGGCACCUGUGUUUUUAAUGUUUGGAGUAGCUAAAGCUAGAGUUGCUCGUUUGGUUAGAAAUAAAGUGGGUGGAGAACAGUUCUAAGCAAAUAACAAAUGAUGGUCAGCCGACUAAGUCUUUAAUCCAGCGCUCAAUGUGUUCUUUUCUUUUAAUGCAUUAAUUGUAAGUUCGUGUAAAUUAUUAUUCAAACUUUUUUUAAAAAAUAUGGAUUCAUGGGCAACCAUUUUAUUACUAAGGAUACAGAGUAAAUCUAAAUCUGUGAAUUACUAACAAGCAAAGGAUGUGAGAAUGAUGACACUUUCAAAUGCUUAAGUUUGCUUAUGUAACCUAUCACAGGCUUUUUAAAUAAGCCUUGCACUUUAAAGAUUUUCUUAGCCCUAGGAAUGAAAUAGCAAUAUUGUUUUUCCAGGUUUCUGUAAAUUAACAAAAGACUGUUUACUUUUAGCAAGAUGACCUUGUUUGAGUUUUGGAGACAAACAUAUAUCUACUUCUCAAAAGCAAAAUAAAAAUCAAUGACAUCUAAAAUUACCAUUUACACUUGAAGCUAUUCUCCAUGCAUUUUAUGUAAAAUGACUGCAUGCUAAGAAUAAGUCUAUAAGGUGAGAACAGCCUAGACUGUUGUUUUUUCUUUCUCAUUUCCUUUUUAACCUGAGAAUUAGAAGAAAGUACUGAUGAUGCUUGCUUAACCCUGCUUUUAGUGCCAGGCUGUGACCAGCUCUCUGUGAAACCAUUUCUGACCCUCUGCUUGCAGUGGUGAACAUGAAUUUUUCCCCUUCCUUGCCCAUCACUGUCAGUCAAUUAUAGGAUUGAACUGAACCAGAAAAUCUGGUACAGUCUGGUAAUUAGUACAAAGGGUUUCCAGUCUAGUGUAAAGACGGGGAUGCAAGAGCCCCAGCAGUCACAGAAAUCGUUUUGAUUGGCCAUGGACAUUGCCUUUUAGUGCUGCUCGGUGACUUCCUAAAGAUAUUGCCUCCUACCCUACAGGUUUUCUCCUUCAAGUACAUUAUGGACCUUUUCAAAAGUCAUGUGUGUGUGUGUGUGUGUGUGUGUGCGCGUGUGCGUGCGUGCGUGCAUGUGUGUGUGUGUGUGUGUGUGUGUGUAUACGUUUCUUUUUUUAGAUCCAACUUCUCCCAUUUUUAGUCUGUCAUUUUUGCCUAUCAAACAGACACAUUUUGACUUGCCCAACAAAGAACCAAGUUAUCAACACUCACAGAAACUGACAUUUUUAAUUCAGGCUUCAUUAUGUCUUUGAAUUAUGACAGUGAAGUACAAAGACGUUUUAAGAGUUUUUUCAUUAUUUUUUUAAAUCCAGCAUUGGGAUGUUUAUCUUUCUUUAGUAUUCAUAUUUCCUUUUCUAUCUUUAUUCUCAGUAAUAUAUAAUUAGCAUUAUCAAAACCAUCAGCUAUUAUCCUUUAUGACUUUUGACCUUUAUUUUUUAAUAUGUCUCAAGCUAGCAUUCUCUAAAACAAAAAUUCUAUGAGAGAUAUUAACGAAAUAUUUUAGGGUUAUAAAAACAAUGAAAUGAUUUAAAACAUGAAUCUUUUUAAAUAUCAACAUUACAUGAAUAGGCAAGUAACACAUUAUAUGAUAAAACUAUAGUGACAAAAUAAAUUUCAGAAAAAAAUUAUUCUGUAAAUCAAGCUUGCAUUUGGUGGUAAGUGUAACUUUAUAGUCUGUAGUUCAUCACACAUUUUUAACCACUACUAUGGAGUUAUUGGCUUAAUGUCAAUGGUAUUUAUAUACUUUUUGCAGAAAAAGUAAUUUUUUGUACUAAUUACCAGACUGUACCAGAUUUUUUGCAAACAUCCUCUUUGACUAUAGAUUACAAAAACUCAGUAGUCACACAUUAGAUACAACAAAAGUGUUUGGUAGCUUGUCAUUUUAACAAAUGCUGGCCUUCAAAAGAUAGAUAUAAGUACAUCUAAGGGCAAAUUUAAUGUCUGACACUCUGUGCAAAACUGCAAAAGCAACAGUGCCCAAAAUAACAGAAGCAAAAGAAAGCACAAGGUUUUCCAUUUCCAAGAAUGCUAUUCUAGCACAAUCUGCAUCAUGAUUUUAGUCAUGAUGCAUAUGUGCUGUGAAUCUUUUAAAGGAUCAUUUAUUUACCCACAUCUUAAUGUAGCUUUAAAUAUCUGUUUUAUCCUACAUACAAUCUUAACAAAAGUAGUUAUGUUACCAUGUCUGGUACUUAUUUCUACAUGUCUGAAUUUUGCUAUUAAAUUUCAAGAAGGUUAAUAUUGCUUUUGUAACCCUGUCAUGAGUAAUGCAUUUUCCCAGUAAACAUGUCAUACUUUUAAAAGCUGUUCAAGAAGCAGUAUUUCUGUUGAAAGUUUUGUGUUUAUUUCUCUAUUGUUUUUUUAACCAUAAUAUAGUGUAAUGCUUUGAAAAGAAUACGCAUAUUUAUGUAAUUAACAUUUUUUGUUUUCAGCAAAACCUUGCCCAUUAAAAACGAGAAGAGUCUUAGAAAACCAUAUAAAUGGGCAACGUUUCAGUGACAAUAUUUGCAUUCAAUUUUAAUUCACCACCGAGUCUAUAUCUUGAAAUGUAUCUAUAAAGGACUGAAGGAAGAGUACAUUCUGAUAAUAGUUUUAUUUUUUAAUCUAAAAUAUAUGUUGAAAUUCCAAAGGUGCUUGCCACAUGUGGUAUGGCAGUAUUCUAUGUUCCAUUAUAUCUGAAUGCUUUGUGGGUCUGUAUAAUAUUACAGGCUUUAAUAUGGAUAUAAACAUUCUUUUCUACCUCAGCCUUACUCCUAGUGGCAGGAGUAAGGCUUGGGAAAAACUCUAAAGAUUAUCCAGUCUCAUGAUUUUCAAACUGUGUUCCCUUGAGCUCUUAGGCUCUUUGGGGCUACUUAGGGCUGUGGGGGAAGGGAGACCAAUUGGCCUCUUACCUCCUGCCUUUAUCUGCUGUGUCUAUUAGAGCCCCACGUAAAAUUGGAAUCCCAUGAUGGAGGGAAAAAGUAAAAUACUAUUGACUGAGCCUCUCUUACAGAUAAGGAAAGCAGAGUUUACUUAAAGUGGCACUCUGAAUCAGUGACAACCAACCACUUGUCCCUUAGUCUUAAACCUACUAAACUGCAAUAAACUUUUCCUACACAGUUAUGGGUCUUUUUGUAUUGUCAUCCUAAACAGCAUUACUAAAAACACACACUAAGAUAUCUAUAGCCCAGUGUUCAAAAUCAAGAUAUUUACUGAGGAUACAAUAUCAAGGUAGGUAAUGCAAUUGAGUAAAAUGUUGCAGACCAAAAUCAAGCCCUCUAUUUGGCAAUACAUUAAAUUUGGUGCAUUACUGUAGACUUUAUGUAAAAUAUUGAUUCAUUUAUUACUUAGUAAUAUUUUGUAUUUUUAAAUUUUCAAUUGUGGUUGAAAAAAACACAUCUAAACCAUUUUUUUAAGUGUAAAGUUCAAUACUUAACUAUAUUCACAUUUUUGUACCUGGGGGUAUCUUGCAUGGUGGGAAAAAUUAAUUAAUUAAGACAAAUUCAAAAGAAAAAGAAUUAAAGAAAGUAAAGCUGAAUUAAGAUGCUACUUUUCUCAAAGCAUGUAUUAUGGAAACAUGUUUUAUGGAAACUAUUCCUAUAAGAUGUGCAAAGUAAAAGAGUGACAUGGUCAAAUAAUCUUUGGAAAUAUAGCAUGUUAUGUCCCUUUAUAAGAAAUUUAUAGACUUGUAUUUUAAAAACUCUGAGAAAUCAUAUUGGAAAGAUCUCUUUGAACUAUGUAUACUAGAGUUUCCUAAACAAUUUUUCCAUAGACUUUCCUCACCUAUUUCACAUAAAAAAUCUAUUUUUAUUCUUCAGGGCUAAUGUUUUAUUGAAUACAUUUUGGGAAACUUUCCUCUAACAGCACUUUUGCACAUUAAAAAAAAAAAGAUCUGUAAGGUACUAUUUAAGUUAUUUAUGUUAAAUGGUUCUGAAUUUACCAAUCCUUCAUCCUCAUUUUGUGGAUAUUAAUGGACAUCCAUUAAUUCAAUCACCCAGCAGAUAUUUACGGACAGUGCUAAAUGCUAGGAAAUACAGUAAUGAGUAAAUCAAUCUUAUCUUAUAGAGCUUAACGUCCAGGGGAAAAAAAUCACAAAGAGAGAGGGAGAGAGGAAAAA